rnacentral:misc_RNA from 1 species
GAUGAAGAACGUAGCGAAAUGCGAUAAGUAGUGUGAAUUGCAGAAUUCAGUGAAUCAUCGAAUCUUUGAACGCACAUUGCGCCCUUUGGUAUUCCUUAGGGCAUGCCUGUUCGAGCGUCAUUUAAACCUUCAAGCUAAGCUUGGUGUUGGGUGACUGUCCGCUUCACGGCGGACUCGCCUCAAAAUUAUUGGCGGCCGGUACAUUGGCUUCGAGCGCAGCAGAAACGCGAACUCGGGCCCGUCGUAUUGGCUCCAAGAAGCUAUCUUCACAAUUUUGACCUCGGAUCAGGUAGGGAUACCCGCUGAACUUAAGCAUAUCAAUAAGCGGAGGA